GACGAACGCUGGCGGCGUGCUUAACACAUGCAAGUCGAGCGGAAAGGCCCUUUCGGGGUACUCGAGCGGCGAACGGGUGAGUAACACGUGAGUAACCUGCCCCAGGCUUUGGGAUAACCCGUCGGAAACGGGGGCCGUAAAUACCGGAUAUUCACUUCUUGUGGCAUCACAGGUUGUGGAAAGUUUUUCGGUCUUGGGAA
rnacentral:rRNA from 1 species